UUGAGAGUUUGAUUCUGGCUCAGAACGAACGCUGGCGGCAGGCUUAACACAUGCAAGUCGAACGAUAUAGUGGCAGACGGGUGAGUAACGCGUGGGAACGUGCCUAUUGGUUCGGAAUAGCCCCGGGAAACUGGGUUUAAUACCGAAUGUGCCCUUCGGGGGAAAGAUUUAUCGCCAAUAGAUCGGCCCGCGUUAGAUUAGCUAGUUGGUGAGGUAAAAGCUUACCAAGGCUACGAUCUAUAGCUGGUCUGAGAGGAUGAUCAGCCACACUGGGACUGAGACACGGCCCAGACUCCUACGGGAGGCAGCAGUGGGGAAUCUUGCACAAUGGGCGAAAGCCUGAUGCAGCCAUGCCGCGUGAAUGAUGAAGGCCUUAGGGUUGUAAAAUUCUUUCGCUAGGGAUGAUAAUGACAGUACCUAGUAAAGAAGCCCCGGCUAACUUCGUGCCAGCAGCCGCGGUAAUACGAAGGGGGCUAGC
rnacentral:rRNA from 1 species